GAGUGAGGACCUAGAAUUUUAAUGUCUAAUAUGUGGUGUGAAUUAAAGAAGUGGCCUUGCCAUGCUGACCUUUUCAGUAUUCUAAUCGUUGCUUUGCUGACCUCUCAGACCUCUUCCUGGCAACAUUAUUAGGCUUUUGGAAGGAGGGAGAGCCAAGCCUAUUGGCUCCUUCCCAUUUGUGAGAGAGCCACAUGCCAUCAGCCCAUAGGCUGGAGGGAGUGUUCCAGAUCUCUCACAUUUCUGCAAUUCCCAGAAGGCCGGUCAUGAAAAUCUUCCCUCUUCAGUUUAUGUAUAUGGCAGUGCUCCAGUGCCAUGACAGUUUUAAUCUUCUGGCUCCAUCUGCGUAGAUUUCAGUCUCUAAUUGAGGAAAAUCAUCUGUUUUUCUCAGGAGCCCCUUGAUUCAAGUUUACACAAAAUUUGCCUUUGGAGACUAUCCUGUUAAUUAAAACAGUUCAGAUCCCACUUGUAUGUGAGACAGAUGCUUCUCUGGCCACCAGACAGGUACCACUAAAGGAGGUACAGACCUCUGGGCCAGUGAUAGGAGGGGCUGCCUUGAAGAUCUCUGAAAUGCCCUGAAGACACUAUCCCCAUUGUCUUGUUGAUUAACAUUCAGCUCCUCUUUACUUAUGGAAAUGUAUUCAGCCACCUUGAGUUGCU